rnacentral:rRNA from 1 species
UUAAAAUAAUUAAUUUUUAUUAAAUAUAUUUUUAAUAAAUUUUAAUUUAAAUAAAUAAUUAAAAAUUAUAGUUAAUUUAAUAAUUUAAUUUUAAAAAAAUUAUAAAAUAAAUUUAAUUAUUAAUUAAAAUUUAAGAAAAAUUAUUUUUUUUUCCUUUUGUAUCAGGAUUAAUUAAAAAAUUAUUUAAAUUUUAAAUUUCUCGAAUUAAAAAAAUUUAAAUUUUUAUAUUUAAUUAUAUUUAAUUAUUAUAUAAAAUAAAAAUUUAGAAACUAUAAAUUAACCAAUUUUUAAAAUAUCUAGUUAUUUAGAAAAUAAAUUAAAUUUAUUUUUAAUUUUAAAUAAUUUUUUUAUAUAAAAAUUUAUAAAAAUUAAAAAAAUAAUUUAAGGGAUAAACUUUAAAUUAAAUUUAUAAAUUUAAUAAAUUAAUUUUAUAAUUUAAAAAUAAAAUUAUUUUUUAUUAAAAAAUAUAUAAUAAUUUUAUAAAAUCUUUUAAAAAUUUAUUUAAAAUUUAAAUAAAUUACUAAAUUAAAAAAUAUAAUUUUUAAAUUUUUAAAAUAAUGAUUAAAUUAGUAAUAUAAAAUUUAAUUUUAUAAAAUAAAAAUUUAUAAUUAAAUUUAAUUAACUAAGCAAAUUUUAUAUUCACCUGUUUAACAAAAACAUGUCUUAUUGAUUAUUAAUUUUAAGUCAAAUCUGCUCAAUGAAUUUAUUUUAAAUAGCUGCAGUAUUUUUAACUGUACAAAGGUAGCAUAAUAAUUAGUUUUUUUAUUGAAAACUAGAAUGAAUGAUUAAAUGAAAUAUAAACUGUAUCAAAUUUAUUAAAUAAAUUUUUUAUUUAAAUAAAAAAAUUUAAAUUGAUAUUAAAGACAAGAAGACCCUAAAGAAUUUUUAUAAUUUUUUUUUAAUAUUUAAAUUAAUUAAAAAUUAUUUUAAUUGGGGAAAUUUUAAAAUUUAUUAAAUUUUUAAUUAAAUUAAACAAUUUUAUUUUUGUAUAAAUAAUAUUUUAUAAAAAAAAAAAUUAAAUUACCUUAGGGAUAACAGCAUAAUUUUUUUAAAAAGUACUAAUUUAUAAAAAAGUUUAUGACCUCGAUGUUGAAUUAAAAUUAAUUUAAUAGAAAAAUAUUAAAAAUUUAAGUCUGUUCGACUUUUAAAAUUUUACAUGAUUUGAGUUAAGAUCGGUGUAAACCAGAUCGGAUUCUAUCUUAAUAUAAAAUAAAUAUUUUUGUACGAAAGGAAUUUAUAUUUUAAAUAAUUUUUAUUAAAUAAUUAAAAAUAAAUUUUU